UACGAAGGGGGCUAGCGUUGCUCGGAAUGACUGGGCGUAAAGGGCGCGUAGGCGGAUUGCUUUGUCGGAUGUGAAAUUCCAGGGCUUAACCUUGGGGCUGCAUUCGAGACGGGUAAUCUAGAGUGGAGAAGAGGGUCGUGGAAUUCCCAGUGUAGAGGUGAAAUUCGUAGAUAUUGGGAAGAACACCGGUGGCGAAGGCGGCGACCUGGUCUUUUACUGACGCUGAGGCACGAAAGCUGGGGGAGCAAACGGG
rnacentral:rRNA from 1 species